UAGCGAAGGGGGCUAGCGUUGCUACGGAAUCACUGGGCGUAAAGCGCGACGUAAGGCGGACUCUUAAGUCGGUGGUGAAAUCCUGGAAGCCUCAACUCCAGAACUGGCCUUACGAUACUGGGAGUCUCGAGUCCGGAGAAGAGGUGAGUGGAACUGCGAGUGUAGACGGUGAAAUUCGAUGAGAUAUUCGCGAAAGAACGACCAGUGGCGGAAGGCGGCUCACAUGGCUCGGGUACUGAACGCUGAC
rnacentral:rRNA from 1 species